rnacentral:tRNA from 1 species
UCCCGGAUGGUGUAAUGGUAGCACAAGUGACUCUGGAUCAUUUAGUCUGGGUUCGAGUCCUAGUCCGGGAGCCA